UACGGGGGGGGGGCAAGCGUUGUUCGGAAUUACUGGGCGUAAAGGGCUCGUAGGCGGCCAACUAAGUCAGACGUGAAAUCCCCAGGCUCAACCUGGGAACUGCGUCUGAUACUGGAUGGCUUGAAUCCGGGAGAGGGAUGCAGAAUUCCAGGUGUAGCGGUGAAAUGCGUAGAUAUCUGGAGGAACACCGGUGGCGAAGGCGGCAUCCUGGGACCGGUAUUGACGCUGAGGCGCGAAAGCUAGGGGAGCAAACAGG
rnacentral:rRNA from 1 species